CCUGAUGCGAUUAUCUAAGUCAUUUAGGGAUCUCUGGUAAGUGGACAAGUAUGAGGUUUGUGCAUCAAGGGCGGAGUGCAUUUGCUGGAGUUUUGUAUAGAUCACAUCCCUAUCGUCCUCCAGCGAGCUCACCCUAUCGCCAACAUGACAGAUUUCGACUCCGAAGACUUCUAUUUUUUUUUUUUUUUUUUAAACUAGCUUUCCAACUUCUGGAACAUUGAAG